AAGGGGGNGCNAGGUGGAAACUUAGGUCCUUCUUAAAAGUUGCGGGGUUCAACCCCGUGAUGGGANAGNAAACCGAGAUUCUUGAGUGCAGGAGAGGAAAGCGGAAUUCCCCGGUGUAGCNGUGAAAAUGCGUAGAUNUCGGGAGGGAACACCAGUGGCGAAGGCGGCUUUCUGGACUGUGACUGACACUGAGGCUCGAAAGCCAGGGUAGCGAACGGGAUUAGAUACCCCCGGUAGUCCUGGCCGUAAAC
rnacentral:rRNA from 1 species